rnacentral:rRNA from 1 species
CGUGCAUAACACAUUCAAGUCGAACGGAGUUGUUUUGAUUAAUCCUUCGGGAAGCGUUGGGACAACUUAGUGGCGGACGGGUGAGUAACGCGUGAGCAACCUGCUCUUGCGUGGGGGAUAACGUUUGGAAACGAACGCUAAUACCGCAUAACGUAUUGAGAUCGCAUGGUUUUGCUACCAAAGAUUUAUUGCGCAAGGCUGGGCCCGAGUCUGAUUAGGUAGUUGGUGAGGUAACGGCUCACCAAGCCGACGAUCAGUAGCCGGACGAGGAGGUUGAACGGACACAUUGAAUCUGAGAUACGGCCCAGAGUUCUACGGGAGGCAGCAGUGGGGAAUAUUGGGCAAUGCGCGAAGGCCUGAUGCGGCGACGCCGCGUGAGGGAAGACGGUCUUCGGAUUGUAAACCUUUGUUGAUAGGGACGAAACAAAUGGCGGUAUCUAUCGAAGAAGCCACGGCUAACUACGUGCCAGCAGCCGCCGCGGUAC